rnacentral:rRNA from 1 species
UCCCAAACUGGGAUUAGAUACCCCACUAUGCUUAGCCCUAAACCUAGAUAGUUAGCUCAAACAAAACUAUCCGCCAGAGAACUACUAGCAACAGCUUAAAACUCAAAGGACUUGGCGGUGCUUUAUAUCCCUCUAGAGGAGCCUGUUCUAUAAUCGAUAAACCCCGAUAAACCUCACCAUCUCUUGCUAAUUCAGCCUAUAUACCGCCAUCUUCAGCAAA